AGAGUAGACAAAACGCGUUUACAGUGUUUCGGGAUGGGAUGUUGCCCGAAAACGAAACGGUUCGCCCUGCGGUGUUUUGUCGCGUCCGCU
rnacentral:ncRNA from 1 species